rnacentral:rRNA from 1 species
UACGUAGGGUGCAAGCGUUGUCCGGAAUUAUUGGGCGUAAAGAGCUCGUAGGCGAUUUGUCGCGUCUGCUGUGAAAGACCGGGGCUCAACUCCGGUUCUGCAGUGGGUACGGGCAGACUAGAGUGCAGUAGGGGAGACUGGAAUUCCUGGUGUAGCGGUGAAAUGCGCAGAUAUCAGGAGGAACACCGGUGGCGAAGGCGGGUCUCUGGGCCGAUACUGACGUGAGGAGCGAAAGCAUGGGGUAGCGAACAGG